UCCGAUGUAGCUCAAUCGGCAGAGCGCCUCCCUGUUAAGGAGGAGGUUGAAGGUUCGAAUCCUUCCGUCGGA
rnacentral:tRNA from 1 species